GAGUUUGAUCCUGGCUCAGAUUGAACGCUGGCGGCAUGCUUUACACAUGCAAGUCGAGCGGCAGCGCGGGGCAACCUGGCGGCGAGCGGCGGACGGGUGAGUAAUGCAUCGGAACGUAUCCCGUAGUGGGGGACAACCCAGCGAAAGCUGGGCUAAUACCGCAUACGCUCUACGGAGGAAAGUGGGGGACUCGCGAGGGCCUCACGCUGGGGGAGCGGCCGAUGUCCGAUUAGCUGGUUGGUGAGGUAAAGGCUUACCAAGGCGACGAUCGGUAGCUGGUCUGAGAGGAUGAUCAGCCACACUGGGACUGAGACACGGCCCAGACUCCUACGGGAGGCAGCAGUGGGGAAUUGUUCACAAUGGGCGCAAGCCUGAUGACGCAACGCCGCGUGGAGGAUGAAGGUCUUCGGAUUGUAAACUCCUGUUGCCCGGGACGAAUGGCUCCAACCUAAUACGUUGGAGUGUGACGGUACCGGGUGAGGAAGCCCCGGCUAACUCUGUGCCAGCAGCC
rnacentral:rRNA from 1 species